CCACACUGUCUAGGCCCAAAUGAGAAAGCAGCCCGGAGAAGUACUAUACUGAACAUUGUUGCAAAAUGUUGAGUUUCUGUUCAUCCUUAAGUCCUU